rnacentral:lncRNA from 1 species
UCUUUGCAGGGAAGAGAGCCAGAAAGAGCCAGAACUGAAAGAAACUGACUAUUGCAUCCAACAGGUAGACUGCAGCCAAGCGGAGGAUGAAGAAAAUGCUGUUGCACCACUUCAGGAAGGACUUGCGCAAACUGAAGCCAUGACUUUUCAGCCGCCGAACUCCACCAUCUUUCGGCCGCCGGACCCUUCACCUCAGCUCUCAUUGCAGACUGAAACCAUCUCCAUCGCGUCCUUUCAACUUCCAACACAGUCAAGCUCCUCCAGUCCUCCCUUUCAGUCAGACCUUGCGCAAAAGGAGGCCCCUGGAUCCAGUUCUGCCAAAAGCCUUGCGCAAGACAGUCCUGCAACACUUCCAGUUUUUAUCUCAUUUUUAAGUUUAUUAUUGUUCAGUUUAUUUUCGGUCAUAAAAAGAGAAAUAGCCAAUCUU